CAAUGCGAAGCGAAGCAGUGAUGUGAAGCAAAUCGCACCAAAGCCAGUCCCAGUUCGGAUAAGAGGCUGAAACUCGCCUCUUUGAAGUCGGAAUCGCUAGUAAUCGCAGAUCAGCAUGUUGCGGUGAAUACGUUCCCGGGUCUUGUACACACCGCCCGUCAAACCAUGAGAGUCACCAACACCCGAAGUCCGCCUUGGCGGCCUAAGGUGGGGGAGAUGAUUGGGGUUAAGUCGUAACAAGGUACC
rnacentral:rRNA from 1 species